rnacentral:sRNA from 1 species
GGGUAACAAGGGUGCUUCAGGGGUGUCUCCAAAGGAGCUCUGGCUCACAGCAGUGUUCCCUUCUUUUAGGGGUCUAGCCCAGCAGCUGGUGGACCCAGCCCGGCCGGGAGAUUUCAACCAAGCAGCCAUGGAGCUAGGUGCCACAGUGUGUACCCCACAGCGCCCACUGUGCAGCCAGUGCCCUGUGGAGAGCCUGUGCCGAGCACGCCAGAGAGUAAGCCUACUGGGGAAGGGGCAGUGAGAAGUCCUAAGGAGUGACUCUGCCCUAUGACACUCAACCCUGUGCCUCUCAGGUGGAGCGGGAACGGCUCUUAGCCUCAGGGAGCCUGUCGAGCAGUCCUGACGUGGAGGAGUGUGCUGCCAACACUGGACAGUGCCACCUGUGCCUGCCUCCCUCGGAGCCCUGGGACCAGACCCUGGGAGUGGUCAACUUCCCC